ensembl:lncRNA
CUGUAAUCCCAGCACUUGGGAGGCUGAGGCAGGAGGAUCCAGAUAAAGAUUUUGUUGAGCACUUGGAAUAAUGGCGCGGUGGGCCUGGGGACAGCACAGCCCAGGGCAGAUGCCUGCUGAGCAUGCGCAAGAGGCCAGCUUCCCUCCAGAAAGAUGGGACUCUAAUUCCGCAUUCGAGCAGGUUUCCUGUGUGUGAAGUACACCGGGCCAAUUCCAAAGAUGCGUAUGAUUACAGGUUCCUCCAAAAACGCAUAGUUGUCAAGAAGCACAAAAGAAAAAAAAAAAGAAGCACAAAAGAAAAAUUUUGUUUACCUCCAGCUUGCGUAUAUGAUCUUAUGGCAGGCAUUUUAUAGCUUCAACUUGCCAUGACUUCACCUUAUUUUCCCACCCUUUCCCUUUAUCAUUUGUGUGUAUACACAUGUGUGUGCUAUGACAUGUGUGUUGUAGCAUG